rnacentral:rRNA from 1 species
UUAAACUGGAGAGUUUGAUUCUGGCUCAGGACGAACGCUGGCGGCGUGCUUAAGACAUGCAAGUCGUACGAGAAAGUCACUUCGGUGGCGAGUAAAGUGGCGCACGGGUGAGUAACGCGUAGAUGAUCUACCCUUCAGUCUGGGACAACUCUUGGAAACGGGAGCUAAUACCGGAUAAAACCUU